GCGGAUGGUUGCGUAGCUGCGCCAUUUAGGCGAGGAAAGUCCGGACUCCAUAGAAGCACGGUGCCGGGUAAUGCCCGGCUGAGGUAACUCAAGGGAAAGUGCCACAGAAAAUAUACCGCCAUUUAUUGGUAAGGGUGAAAAGGUGCGGUAAGAGCGCACCGGUAUUUUGGUAACAAAAUGCGCAUGGUAAACCCCACCUGGAGCAAGACCAAAUAGGCAUAGCAAGUAACUUAUGUUCGUGAGAUGUUUCUACUCAUAUUGCUGUGCGGGUAGGUUGCUUAAACAUAUUUGGUAACAAUUAUGUUAGAUAAAUAGCUGCGCAGGGAUUUUUUCCUGGACAGAAUCCGGCUUAUAGACUAUCCGUUUUU
rnacentral:RNase_P_RNA from 1 species